rnacentral:rRNA from 1 species
GAUUAACGUUGGUAGCAUGUCUAACAAUAGCAAGUCGAACGGGAUUAUAGCAAUAUAAUUCAGUGGCGAACGGGUGAGUAAUACUUAUCUUACCUACCGUUUAGUGGGGGAUGAAAUACCGCAUGUUCUGGCUUCGGCCAGCAAAGGAAGUCGCUAGGCUUUCGCUAAAUGAUGGGGAUAAGGCGUAUCAGUUAGUUGGUGGGGUAAUGGCCUACCAAGGCAAUGACGCGUAGUCGGGCUGAGAGGCUGACCGGCCACAAGGGAACUGAGACAAGGUCCCUACUCCUACGGGAGGCAGCAUUGGGGAAUCGAUGGCAAUGAGGGAAACCUUGACCACGCAAUGCUACGUGAAGGAAGAAGGUCUACGGAUUGUAAACUUCUUUACUAGAGAGUACUUCCGCAAGGUUUGCUCUUUGGCAAAAAGUCACGACUAACUACGUGCCAGCAGUCGCGGUAAGACGUAGGUGGCGAACGUUAUCCGGAAGCAUUGGGCGUAAAGGGUGCGUAGAUGGCAAGAUAAGUUAGCGGUGGUAAAUCGAGGCUCAACCUCGUGGAAGCCGGUAAUACUGUUUUGCUUGAGUGCAGGAGAGGUUAACGGAACUCCAUGUGGAGCGGUAAAAUGCACAGAUAUAUGGAUGAACAUCAAUAACGGCGAAGGCAGUUAACUAUUCUGCUACUGACAUUGAGGCACGAAAGCGUGGGGAGCAAAACGGAUUAGAUACCCGUGUAGUCCACGCCCUAAACGAUGAGUACUAGAUAUUGGGAACUUGAUACUCAGUGUCGCUAGUUAACACAGUAAGUACUCCGCCUGGGCAGUACGCUCGCAAGAGUGAAACUCAAAGGAAUUGACGGGGACUCGCACAAGCAGUGGAGCAUGUGGUUUAAUCCGAUACAACGCGUAGAACCUUACCAAGGCUUGACAUGUAAGGUAGCAAUACUAAACUAGGGAAACCUAGUUGAAUUACACAGGUGCUGCACGGCCGUCGUCAGUUCGUGCCGUGAGGUGUAUGGUUAAGUCCUACAACGAACGCAACCCUUGGACUUAGUUGCCAGCAUUCAGUUGGGGACUCUAGGUCGACUGCCUGAGUAAUCAGGAGGAAGGAGAGGAUGAAGUCUGGCCGAUAUGGCCCUUAUGCCUUGGGCGACACACGUGCUACAAUGGUUAACACAAAGGGAUGCCAACCCGCGAGGGGGAGCCAAGCCCAAAAAAUUAACCUCAGUUCGGAUUGGAGGCUGCAACUCGCCUCCAUGAAGGUGGAAUUGCUAGUAAUCGCAAAUCAGCCAUGUUGCGGUGAAUACGUUCUCGAGUCUUGUACACACCGCCCGUCAAAUCACGAAAGUCGGUAAUGCCUGAAACCAGUUAGUUAACCCGCAAGGGAUGCGGCUGACAAGGGCAGGAUUGACAAUUGGGGUUAAGUCGUAACAAGGUAAAU